rnacentral:misc_RNA from 1 species
UUCAAUGCUUGCAUAAUAUGAGUCAUAUUUGGUAUAAACUGGAGCUUAUCCAAUUGGGUCUCCAUUUCAGGUCCCCAUCUCCACCUCUUCACUAUCUCAACAAGCUUUGCUACUGCGGAAGCAUUCAAAAUAGGCUUUUUCAAUCCACCGACCAUUACAUGGUCAUCCAGCCCCGGCUCAACCGACCUUAUUCCCUUCCCAGAGUAAAUGACACUCCCUGAUUCAUCCAGAUAUUCUACAUCUUCAGUCCAUUCAUCACUGCUCUUCCCAGAACAGUAGUAUCUAGAAGAAAAGUAAGGUCCUUUGACGUUGAAAUCGCACGACCCUGCAGUGUUCCGAAAUGGAUGAUAACUCCGAUAAAUUUCGAUUAAGUUCCGGGUAUGUUUCAAGUUUCUAUAAAACAGAAGCAUUAUAUGGGAGUGAGACAGAGACCGUGGGGAAAGUAAUUAGGGUUCCGGCGAAAAUGGGGCAAGGGUUUAGCUCGGUACAUGUGCAGCGUCUGCG